rnacentral:rRNA from 1 species
UGCCCCAGUAACGGCGAGUGAAGCGGCAACAGCUCAAAUUUGAAAUCUGGCUCUCGGGCCCGAGUUGUAAUUUGUAGAGGAUGCUUUUGGUGAGGUGCCUUCCGAGUUCCCUGGAACGGGACGCCAUAGAGGGUGAGAGCCCCGUCUGGUUGGACACCGAUCCUCUGUAAAGCUCCUUCGACGAGUCGAGUAGUUUGGGAAUGCUGCUCUAAAUGGGAGGUAUAUGUCUUCUAAAGCUAAAUACCGGCCAGAGACCGAUAGCGCACAAGUAGAGUGAUCGAAAGAUGAAAAGAACUUUGAAAAGAGAGUUAAAAAGUACGUGAAAUUGUUGAAAGGGAAGCGCUUGUGACCAGACUUGGGCUUGGUUGAUCAUCCGGGGUUCUCCCCGGUGCACUCUUCCGGCUCAGGCCAGCAUCAGUUCGCCCUGGGGGAUAAAGGCUUCGGGAAUGUGGCUCUCUCCGGGGAGUGUUAUAGCCCGCUGCGUAAUACCCUGUGGCGGACUGAGGUUCGCGCAUUCGCAAGGAUGCUGGCGUAAUGGUCAUCAGUGACCCGUCUUGAAACACGGACCAAGGAGUCGUCUUCGUAUGCGAGUGUUCGGGUGUCAAACCCCUACGCGAAAUGAAAGUGAACGCAGGUGAGAGCUUCGGCGCAUCAUCGACCGAUCCUGAUGUUAUCGGAUGGAUUUGAGUAAGAGCAUACGGGGCCGGACCCGAAAGAAGGUGAACUAUGCCUGUGUAGGGUGAAGCCAGAGGAAACUCUGGUGGAGGCUCGCAGCGGUUCUGACGUGCAAAUCGAUCGUCAAACAUGGGCAUGGGGGCGAAAGACUAAUCGAACCUUCUAGUAGCUGGUUUCCGCCGAAGUUUCCCUCAGGAUAGCAGUGUUGAACUCAGUUUUAUGAGGUAAAGCGAAUGAUUAGGGACUCGGGGGCGCUAUUUAGCCUUCAUCCAUUCUCAAACUUUAAAUAUGUAAGAAGCCCUUGUUGCUUAA